CAGCCGUGGGCUGCUGGGGCGCAGGCAGCGGGUGCGGUGGCGGCUGGUGCCCUGCCAGCCCCGCGCCGGGCUCCCGCCUCCAGUGGGUGGAAGCCUCACGUGGGGACUGGCUCGGUCCUGCUCCCACGGCCAGACCUCGUCCAUCACUUGCGUGGCCCUUGGUCGUGGAAAUAAUAGUACCUCUUUACCACAGAAGGUGUUGCAAGAGGAAUUUGUGAAGAACUGUCUGGCAGUUGGGUACUACAGGGAUGGAGGCCACAGAUGUAUCUAUAGAGGCAGAAAAAAGCCUUGAACUAAAGACGGUAAGAAAAUCAACAAAGAGGCUGAGUGAGAAUGGCCAGUUCAAGACUAAGAGAAGGAAGUAGUAUGUUACCCAGCCUACACUUUGCUAGAGGAACUCACUGCUACCAGUUAUCCUUGAGGUCUGGAUUCAUGACUCCGGAGAGGUUAGGAUAUCUGGAGAACAGCAAGCAUGUGAAGAGUUUGAACAGAAGAAGUUUUUGUUAUGCAGACACGGGAAAUAUAGGCAGUGCAUCUGGGUUUGAAAGCUCAGAAAAUCAGCCCACAAAUUCCAAAUAUAAGGACUGGAGUCUCCUCUGGGGUUGUCAACAUUGUCUUCGACAGGUUAGCAUUACCGUGGAGGAGGUUGUCCACAGUCCCAGAGCUGGGAGAAUGAAAGAACUGAAGUUUUGUCUGGCAGUGCAUGGGUUGAGAAGGAAGAUAAGUUCAUUUCUUUCUUCCUCUUCCUUUUGCUCACAUUUGCACAUGGAGGACCUCAAGAAAGGCAGAUAA
rnacentral:lncRNA from 1 species